rnacentral:rRNA from 1 species
GACGAACGCUGGCGGCGUGCCUAAUACAUGCAAGUUGAGCGAUGAAGAUUGGUGCUUGCACCCAUUUGAAGAGCAGCGAGCGGGUGAGUAACGCGUGGGGAAUCUGCCUUUGAGCGGGGGACAACAUUUGGAAACGAAUGCUAAUACCGCAUAACAACUUUAAACAUAAGUUUUAAGUUUGAAAGAUGCAAUUGCAUCACUCAAAGAUGAUCCCGCGUUGUAUUAGCUAGUUGGUGAGGUAAAGGCUCACCAAGGCGAUGAUACAUAGCCGACCUGAGAGGGUGAUCGGCCACAUUGGGACUGAGACACGGCCCAAACUCCUACGGGAGGCAGCAGUAGGGAAUCUUCGGCAAUGGACGAAAGUCUGACCGAGCAACGCCGCGUGAGUGAAGAAGGUUUUCGGAUCGUAAAACUCUGUUGGUAGAGAAGAACGUUGGUGAGAGUGAAAAGCUCAUCAAGUGACGGUAACUACCCAGAAAGGGACGGCUAACUACGUG